AGUGAACGCUGGCGGCGUGCCUAAUACAUGCAAGUCGAACGAUGAAACUUCUAGCUUGCUAGAAGUGGAUUAGUGGCGCACGGGUGAGUAAUGCAUAGGUAACAUGCCCUUUAGUCUGGGAUAGCCACUGGAAACGGUGAUUAAUACUGGAUACUCCCUACGGGGGAAAGGGGCUUUCAAUAAAGAAUUUCUCUUUUUAGUGUUUUGUGUUGUUGGCACAAAAUUCUAGUAUUUGGAAUGAGAAAUUGGUGUUGUGAAGCAAUUUGUGCGGAGAUUAGACUUAGUGUCUGUCGUGUCAGCAAAUUGCGAACUCAUCGAUUUAUCAUCCAAAGACGAAUUUUUUAUUGAAAGCCUUCGCUAAAGGAUUGGCCUAUGUCCUAUCAGCUUGUUGGUGAGGUAAUGGCUCACCAAGGCUAUGACGGGUA
rnacentral:rRNA from 1 species